CCAUAGCCUAGUUGGUCGAGCACAAGGUUUUCAAUCUUGUGGUCGUGGGUUCGAGCCCUAUUGG
rnacentral:tRNA from 1 species